rnacentral:lncRNA from 1 species
AAAAAAGUACAUUAAGUUCAACAUCAUGUCAUUCACCCAACUAACAUCCAGAUCAUCUGAUUACCCUCCAUCUUCUCUAAGGUAAUCUGGCUGUGAGAUCGGCAGGAGAAAGCACGAUGGAUUACCUCGUUGAACUGAUGGUCAACAUUCUUCCCAACACAUUCAGGAAUAUCAUCAUGGACAAGAUUGAGCCCAAAAUCCACCAGGCAAUCCAGAAGCAAUUCAACGGCCUCGAUAUACACCGGAUCAUCUUAACCAAGUUAGCCGAGAAGCGACAAGCUGAAGCCAACGCAACACCAUAAGAAAUAAGAAACAUGGCUAUCGGCACUGAGUGUUCUUAAUGACGGCGAAGUCACGUGAUGUUGCUGGUCUUACUCAUUGCUUACUCGUCUUACUCUGGUUAGGAAGAAAGGCACUCUUAUAUUUUGUAUUAUAUACUCUUUUCUUUCGUUGUUAUUUCGUACUUGAUAUUGAUGAGAUUUUUUUUCUUUCUUUCUUUUUUUUGUUCCUUAUUAUCAUAGUGAUGUAAGUGCUGUCAUUCUGUCAAUAAAGCGGUUUUAUUCUUUCUUGUUA